rnacentral:rRNA from 1 species
GACAGAGGCCUCGAGCGUUAGGCGGAAUCACUGGGCUUAAAGCGUGUGUAGGCGGACGCCUAAGUACCUUGUGAAAUCCCACGGCUCACCCGUGGAACCGCUGGGUAUACUGGGGUGUCUUGGGCCAUUCAGGGGGCAACUGGAACAAGCGGUGGAGCGGUGAAAUGCGUAGAUAAUCGGCUUGGAACGCCGACGGUGAAAACAGGUUGCUGGGAAUGAUGCCGACGCUGAGACACGGAAAGCCAGGGGAGCAAACGGG